UACAGAGGUCCCAAGCGUUGUUCGGAUUCACUGGGCGUAAAGGGUGCGUAGGUGGUCGGGUAAGUCUGAUGUGAAAGCUCGGAGCUUAACUCCGAAAUGGCAUUGGAUACUAUCCGGCUAGAGGGUCGGAGGGGGGACUGGAAUUCUCGGUGUAGCAGUGAAAUGCGUAGAUAUCGAGAGGAACACUAGUGGCGAAGGCGAGUCCCUGGACGACUCCUGACACUGAGGCACGAAAGCUAGGGGAGCAAACAGG
rnacentral:rRNA from 1 species